UGGAGGUGUGUUCUAGUGGGCCUGGGCAGGUGUGAUGUAGUUAAUGGAGAUGGAGGUGUGUUCUAGUGGGUCUGGGCAGGUGUGAUGUAGUUAAUGGAGAUGGAGGUGUGUUCUAGUGGGUCUGGGCAGGUGUGAUGUAGUUAAUGGAGAUGGAGGUGUGUUCUAGUGGGUCUGGGCAGGUGUGAUGUAGUUAAUGGAGAUGGAGGUGUGUUCUAGUGGGUCUGGGCAGGUGUGAUGUAGUUAAUGGAGAUGGAGGUGUGUUCUAGUGGGUCUGGGCAGGUGUGAUGUAGUUAAUGGAGAUGGAGGUGUGUUCUAGUGGGUCUGGGCAGGUGUGAUGUAGUUAAUGGAGAUGGAGGUGUGUUCUAGUGGGUCUGAUGUAGUUAAUGGAGAUGGAGGUGUGUUCUAGUGGGUCUGAUGUAGUUAAUGGAGAUGGAGGUGUGUUCUAGUGGGUCUGGGCAGGUGUGAUGUAGUUAAUGGAGAUGGAGGUGUGUUCUAGUGGGUCUGGGCAGGUGUGAUGUAGUUAAUGGAGAUGGAGGUGUGUUCUAGUGGGUCUGGGCAGGUGUGAUGUAGUUAAUGGAGAUGGAGGUGUGUUCUAGUGGGUCUGGGCAGGUGUGAUGUAGUUAAUGGAGAUGGAGGUGUGUUCUAGUGGGUCUGGGCAGGUGUGAUGUAGUUAAUGGAGAUGGAGGUGUGUUCUAGUGGGUCUGGGCAGGUGUGAUGUAGUUAAUGGAGAUGGAGGUGUGUUCUAGUGGGUCUGGGCAGGUGUGAUGUAGUUAAUGGAGAUGGAGGUGUGUUCUAGUGGGUCUGGGCAGGUGUGAUGUAGUUAAUGGAGAUGGAGGUGUGUUCUAGUGGGUCUGAUGUAGUUAAUGGAGAUGGAGGUGUGUUCUAGUGGGUCUGAUGUAGUUAAUGGAGAUGGAGGUGUGUUCUAGUGGGUCUGGGCAGGUGUGAUGUACUUCAUGUUUGUAUGAUGUUGUCGUUUGUAUGUUUUGUAUUGUUUAUAAAAAGAUAAAUAAAAUAUUUUUCCCAAUGCA